rnacentral:rRNA from 1 species
UACGAAGGGUGCAAACGUUGCUCGGAAUUAUUGGGCGUAAAGCGCACGUAGGCGGCAUUGCAAGUCGGAUGUGAAAUCUUAUGGCUUAACCAUAAAAGUGCAUCCGAAACUGCAGUGCUUGAGUACUUAAGAGGAUCGCGGAAUUCCCGGUGUAGAGGUGAAAUUCGUAGAUAUUCGCAGGAACACCAGUGGCGAAGGCGGCUUGCCAGAAUGCGCUCGACGGUGAGGGAUGAAAGCUGGGGGAGCAAACCGG